CCUUUGCCGGCAGCUUACACAUGCAAGUCGAGCGGAACGAUGGGAGCUUGCUCCCAGGCGUCGAGCGGCGGACGGGUGAGUAACACUUAGGAAUCUACCUAGUAGUGGGGGAUAGCUCGGGGAAACUCGAAUUAAUACCGCAUACGUCCUACGGGAGAAAGGGGGCAGUUUACUGCUCUCGCUAUUAGAUGAGCCUAAGUCGGAUUAGCUAGAUGGUGGGGUAAAGGCCUACCAUGGCGACGAUCUGUAGCUGGUCUGAGAGGAUGAUCAGCCACACCGGGACUGAGACACGGCCCGGACUCCUACGGGAGGCAGCAGUGGGGAAUAUUGGACAAUGGGGGAAACCCUGAUCCAGCCAUGCCGCGUGUGUGAAGAAGGCCUUUUGGUUGUAAAGCACUUUAAGCAGUGAAGAAGACCUAACGGUUAAUACCCGUUAGCGAUGACAUUAGCUGCAGAAUAAGCACCGGCUAACUCUGUGCCAGCAGCCGCGGUAAUACAGAGGGUGCAAGCGUUAAUCGGAAUUACUGGGCGUAAAGCGAGCGUAGGUGGCUUGAUAAGUCAGAUGUGAAAUCCCCGGGCUUAACCUGGGAACUGCAUCUGAUACUGUUAAGCUAGAGUAGGUGAGAGGGAAGUAGAAUUCCAGGUGUAGCGGUGAAAUGCGUAGAGAUCUGGAGGAAUACCGAUGGCGAAGGCAGCUUCCUGGCAUCAUACUGACACUGAGGCUCGAAAGCGUGGGUAGCAAACAGGAUUAGAUACCCUGGUAGUCCACGCCGUAAACGAUGUCUACUAGUCGUUGGGUCCCUUGAGGACUUAGUGACGCAGCUAACGCAAUAAGUAGACCGCCUGGGGAGUACGGCCGCAAGGUUAAAACUCAAAUGAAUUGACGGGGGCCCGCACAAGCGGUGGAGCAUGUGGUUUAAUUCGAUGCAACGCGAAGAACCUUACCUGGUCUGGACAUACACAGAAUCUUGUAGAGAUACGAGAGUGCCUUUCGGGAAUUGUGAUACAGGUGCUGCAUGGCUGUCGUCAGCUCGUGUCGUGAGAUGUUGGGGUUAAGUCCCGCAACGAGCGCAACCCUUUGUCCUUAGUUACCAGCGGGUUAAAGCCGGGAACUUCUAAGGAUAACUGCCAGUUGACAAACUGGAAGGAAGGCGGGGGACG
rnacentral:rRNA from 1 species